ACGAACGCUGGCGGCGUGCUUAACACAUGCAAGUCGAACGGUGAAGCGCCUUCCUUUUUGGUGGGUGUGGAUGAGUGGCGAACGGGUGAGUAACACGUGAGUAACCUGCCCCUUUCUUCUGGAUAACCGCAUGAAAGUGUGGCUAAUACGGGAUAUUCUGGGUCUGUCGCAUGAUGGGUCUGGGAAAGAUAUUGUUUCGGUGGGGGAUGGGCUCGCGGCCUAUCAGCUUGUUGGUGGGGUGAUGGCCUACCAAGGCGGUGACGGGUAGCCGGCCUGAGAGGGUGGACGGUCACACUGGGACUGAGACACGGCCCAGACUCCUACGGGAGGCAGCAGUGGGGAAUAUUGCACAAUGGGCGCAAGCCUGAUGCAGCGACGCCGCGUGAGGGAUGGAGGCCUUCGGGUUGUGAACCUCUUUCGCCAGUGAAGCAGGCCUGCCUCGUUUGUGGGUGGGUUGACGGUAGCUGGAUAAGAAGCGCCGGCUAACUACGUG
rnacentral:rRNA from 1 species